GAUGAACGCUGGCGGCGUGCCUAAUACAUGCAAGUCGAGCGAACAGACGAGGAGCUUGCUCCUCUGACGUUAGCGGCGGACGGGUGAGUAACACGUGGAUAACCUACCUAUAAGACUGGGAUAACUUCGGGAAACCGGAGCUAAUACCGGAUAAUAUAUUGAACCGCAUGGUUCAAUAGUGAAAGACGGUUUUGCUGUCACUUAUAGAUGGAUCCGCGCCGCAUUAGCUAGUUGGUAAGGUAACGGCUUACCAAGGCGACGAUUCGUAGCCGACCUGGGAGGGUGAUCGGCCACACUGGAACUGAGACACGGUCCAGACUCCUACGGGAGGCAGCAGUAGGGAAUCUUCCGCAAUGGGCGAAAGCCUGACGGAGCAACGCCGCGUGAGUGAUGAAGGUCUUCGGAUCGUAAAACUCUGUUAUUAGGGAAGAACAAAUGUGUAAGUAACUAUGCACGUCUUGACGGUACCUAAUCAGAAAGCCACGGCUAACUACGUG
rnacentral:rRNA from 1 species